rnacentral:rRNA from 1 species
AGAGUGCACCUGGGGAAUUGAAACAUCUUAGUACCCAGAGGAAUAGAAAUCAAUUGAGAUUCUCCUAGUAGCGGCGAGCGAACGGGGAUUAGCCCAAACCAAGAGAGCUUGCUCUUUUGGGGUUGUGGACGGCCAACAUGGAUUUGAGUUGUUAGUAGAACGUUCUGGAAAGUUCGAACAUAGAGGGUGAUAUUCCCGUAUACGAAAACAACGAUUACCUAGGCCUGAUCCAGAGUACCACAGGACACGUGAAAUCCGGUGGGAAACAGGGGGGACCAUCCUCCAAGGCUAAAUAUUGCUAAUGACCGAUAGCGCAUAGUACCGUGAGGGAAAGGUGAAAAGUACCCCGGUGAGGGGAGUGAAAGAGUACCUGAAACCGUAUGUCUACAAGCAGUGGAAGAACUAUGUUUACAUGUUCGACCACGUACCUUUUGCAUCAUGGGUUGGCGAGUUAAUUUUUGCAGCGAGGUUAAGCCGUCAGGUGUAGCCGCAGGGAAACCGAGUGUGAAUAGCGCGUAUAGUUGCAGGGAUUAGACCCGAAGCCGGUCGAGCUACGCAUGGGCAGGUUGAAGCGACGGUAAAACUUCGUGGAGGACCGAACCCGUUGAGGUUGAAAACUCUUGGGAUGACUUGUGCGUAGGGGUGAAAGGCCAAUCAAGAUCGGCAAUAGCUGGUUCUCUCCGAAAGAUAUCUAGGUAUCGCCUCGAGUAAUUCAGUACCGGAGGUAGAGCACUGACAGGGCUAGGGGGCUUCACCGCCUACCAAACCCUUUCAAACUCCGAAUGCCGGUAACUGUUAUCUCGGGAGGCAGUCCGUGGGUGAUAAGGUCCGCGGGCGAGAGGGAAAGAUCCCAGACCAACAGCUAAGGUCCCUAAGUUCUGACUAAGUGGAAAAGGAUGUGGAAUUGCAUUGACAACCAGGAGGUUGGCUUAGAAGCAGCAACCCUUUAAAGAAAGCGUAAUAGCUCACUGGUCAAGUGAAUCUGCGCCGAAAAUGUAACGGGGCUCAAGUCAGACACCGAAGCUUUGGGUUCAAUCUAUUUAUAGAUUGAGCGGUAGGAGAGCACUCUAGCGCCGCUGAAGACGUACCGUAAGGAGCGUUGGAGGUUCUAGAGGAGAUUAUGCCAACAUGAGUAGCGAUAAAACAGGUGAGAAACCUGUUCGCCGAAAACCCAAGGGUUCCUGGGGCAGGUUAAUCCGCCCAGGGUUAGUCGGGUCCUAAGCCGAGGCCGAAAGGCGUAGGCGAUGGAAAACAGGUUAAUAUUCCUGUACCACCUUAGAGACGUUUGAGCUAUGGGGUGACGCAGAAGUGAUGACCAGCCCGCGACUGGAAAUGCGGGUCUAAGCCUGUAGGGGGUUCGCCCAGGUAAAUCCGGGCGUUCAUUCAACCCUGAGAGGUUAUGGGGAAACGAGCCUUCGGGCAAGCCAACUGGUCUUAAUCAAGCUGCCAAGAAAAACCUCUAUGUGAGUCUCUAGGGUGUCCGUACCGCAAACCGACACAGGUAGAUGGGGAGAGAAUCCCAAGGUGCGCGAGAGAACCCCCGUUAAGGAACUAGGCAAAUUGGCUCCGUAACUUCGGGAGAAGGAGCGCCUCCAAGUAGGUGAUCGGGCUUGCCCCGUGAGCUGAAGGAGGUCGCAGAGAAACGGCCUGGGCGACUGUUUACUAAAAACACAGGUCUCUGCUAAGUCGCAAGACGACGUAUAGGGACUGACACCUGCCCGGUGCCAAUAGGUUAAGAGGAGAGGUUAGCCCUUGAGGCGAAGCUUUGAAUCGAAGCUCUGGUAAACGGCGGCCGUAACUAUAACGGUCCUAAGGUAGCGAAAUUCCUUGUCGGCUAAAUACCGACCUGCACGAAUGGUGUAACGACUUGAGCGCUGUCUCAACAGGGGACUCGGCGAAAUUGUAGUUCCGGUG